rnacentral:rRNA from 1 species
AGCUUAACACAUGCAAGUCGAGCGGGGAAGGUUGCUUCGGUAACUGACCUAGCGGCGGACGGGUGAGUAAUGCUUAGGAAUCUGCCAUUUAGUGGGGGACAACAUUCCGAAAGGAAUGCUAAUACCGCAUACGUCCUACGGGAGAAAGCAGGGGAUCUUCGGACCUUGCGUUAAUAGAUGAGCCUAAGUCGGAUUAGCUAGUUGGUGGGGUAAAGGCCUACCAAGGCGACGAUCUGUAGCGGGUCUGAGAGGAUGAUCCGCCACACUGGGACUGAGACACGGCCCAGACUCCUACGGGAGGCAGCAGUGGGGAAUAUUGGACAAUGGGGGGAACCCUGAUCCAGCCAUGCCGCGUGUGUGAAGAAGGCCUUAUGGUUGUAAAGCACUUUAAGCGAGGAGGAGGCUACUUUAGUUAAUACCUAGAGAUAGUGGACGUUACUCGCAGAAUAAGCACCGGCUAACUCUGUGCCAGCAGCCGCGGUAAUACAGAGGGUGCAAGCGUUAAUCGGAUUUACUGGGCGUAAAGCGCGCGUAGGCGGCUAAUUAAGUCAAAUGUGAAAUCCCCGAGCUUAACUUGGNGAAUUUGCAUUUCGAUACUGGUUUAGCUCAGAGUGUGGGGAGAGGA